rnacentral:tRNA from 1 species
GGAGGAGUCGGAUAGCGGUCUAUUCCACACGCUUGGAAAGCGUGCGAGCGAAAGUUCACGCGGGUUCAAAUCCCGCCUCCUCCG